UACGAAGGGGGCUAGCGUUGCUCGGAAUUACUGGGCGUAAAGGGAGCGUAGGCGGAUAGUUCAGUCAGAGGUGAAAGCCCGGGGCUCAACUCCGGAAUUGCCUUUAAAACUGCAUCGCUAGAAUUGUGGAGAGGUAAGUGGAAUUCCGAGUGUAGAGGUGAAAUUCGUAGAUAUUCGGAAGAACACCAGUGGCGAAGGCGACUUACUGGACACAUAUUGACGCUGAGGUGCGAAAGCGUGGGGAGCAAACAGG
rnacentral:rRNA from 1 species